GAAAAAUCUCAUUCGCUAGAGAGCGUGCGCGUAUAUAGUGUCUAUUACUCGCUAGGUGUGGGUCUUGCACGAACAUCAGGGAUGGGCAAAAUCAGUCCGCUAUGCCUUUCUUGUUCGUCCUAACUGAAAGUUGCUGGCGCCGGCCAGCAUCUACAGCAAUAGGAGCCUCCGGGAGAGCCGAGCUGCUGGCCCUGUUACUCAUCAAGAUAGUUCCCCAUACAUAUGCAACCCAAGGUCGUUUCAAACUCACAGCUGGUUAGCAGGCAUUCGCUCUGACAAGGUUGAGAAAGAACAAAAAAAAUAUGAACGCUCAAACAUCAACUUCUUUCUCUUUCUGUGACGCGCUCUAGGCUCCGUUAAAUAUCAGGCGAUGGAGAGAAACUGUCCACGCGUGAAAUAGUAGUGACCAGUAAUUUCACAAACUCCCUUCACGCCAACGCUCCCUACGUGAGGUCGAUUUAUUUUUCUCACAGGAGAUCCAACCGACGUCAUAUCUAACACCUUGAUAACAUUCCCCCCCCCCACCCCCCACCAAUCUGCAUUUAACGCCAUCUUCUUCGUCUACGUGUAUAGUAUAUGUCGUAAAUUUUCUUUGGUUGGAUAUGCAAUUUUGAUUCACAAACACAAAGCGGUGCGUGCGUGUCGGAAAAGGGACAAGCGGCGCCUCUGGUGGUUCUCCCUGACAGCCUUGUGAUACCUCGGCUAUUGUCCCGCUCUCUUUCCAUCAAACUCUUUUUUUGGAGCGUCUCAUAAACCUAUGCACGUAUAGCAAAAGAGGCGCCACUCAAUUCUUUUUCUUCGGGAUUGUUAUUUCAACAUCGUUCGUCACACAUUCCCGGCCUGUCAUUUCAAUCUAUGUUAUUCACGCUACCGCAUUUUUUUUAUUUAUUUUUAUUUGAUUUUAAAUGAUAGAUCACCUUCCUUUUAUACUUGGAUUGUUGUACGUUCGGCUCGACUCUUUUGUUACGCGCACCCGUUCGCAUUUUUCGUGAGAUUGUUGUGCUGAGACGAUUGUUAAACACAAACACGGUUGGGUGAAUCACGUCGCGUGGAAAACGGAAAAUCCCCGAGAUCAAAAGAAUUAGGUGUUUACGGUGUGCGAUAAACUCCUGAACUACAUUUCGACCGUAAUGCUAUCGUUAAAAAUAAAGGACGAGGACAAUUUGAGUGUGUGUGUGUGUGUGUAAUCAUACACGUUAAUAAUCCGGCAAGGUGUAAUGUAACAAUUCCCCCCACGUGUUUUUUUUUUUAUCAAAGGGUAAAUAAGAACGAUAUGAAUACGCCCAUCGUGAAAAUAAUGGAAGAAUAAUUUUGCAGUGAUUGCAGUUUCAAGGUGAUCCGAAACUGGAAUCAUCUGGUUCGUACUAGAUUUUAUUAGUUAUUUAUAGAUAGGGAAUUUUUAGGAUCAAUAGAGGUUGGAUAGGUGA